UACGUAGGGGGCAAGCGUUGUCCGGAAUCAUUGGGCGUAAAGAGCGCGUAGGCGGCCCAGUAAGUCCGCUCUGAAAGUCAGGGGCUCAACCCCUGGAUGCGGGUGGAUACUGCUGGGCUAGAGUCCGGAAGAGGUGAGUGGAAUUCCUGGUGUAGCGGUGAAAUGCGCAGAUAUCAGGAGGAACACCAAUAGCGAAGGCAGCUCGCUGGGACGUACUGACACUGAGGCGCGAAAGCGUGGGGAGCGAACAGG
rnacentral:rRNA from 1 species